UGCCAGCCGCCGCGGUAAUACGUAGGGAGCGAGCGUUGUUCGGAUUUAUUGGCGUAAAGAGCACGUAGGCGGGUAUGCAAGUCAGUUGUGAAAUCCUUUGGCUCAACCAGAGAAUUGCAGCUGAAACUGCAUAUCUUGAGCCCAGCAGAGGAAAUCGGAAUCAAGGGUGUAGCGGUGAAAUGCGUAGAUAUCCUUGAGAACACCAGUGGCGAAGGCGGAUUUCUGGGCUGGUACUGACGCUGAGGUGCGAAAGCUGAGGGGGCGAACAGGAUUAGAUA
rnacentral:rRNA from 1 species